UGAAGGAGUCUCACAGUAAAAUGCAAGAGGAGAUCACGGCGUUACAGAAAAGAGUAGGCGUUCUUGGUGAAGAACUGCACAAUGUCCCGGGUAUACUGGCUGGGGCUGAGUGACCAGAAAGUGGAAAAUCAAUGGCUCUGGGUGGAUGGCUCCCCUCUGAAACUCAGCUUCUGGAGCACCAGGGAGCCCAAUGACUCCAGCAACGAGGACUGUGGCACCAUGGCGAUUGACGGGCGCUGGAACGACAUAAACAUACCUGUGGACAUACACCUUUCUCAAAUUCAUCUUUCAUG